AUGUCUGUAGAUGGGACUAAGCUAUUGUUUGAAGGCUUCCUGCAGAAAAGAAAGGAUACUAUGAAAAUAAGGUGGCUGACGUAUUGGUUCAGACUUCAAAACACAACCUUGUUCUUCUAUACCAAGAAGAACGGCAGUGCUUCACACUUGAGAGGCAAUUACUACAUUUACACAGUGCAGUCAGUGCGAGAGGUCCAGAGGGCCGACAGCAGCCGCUUCAUGUUUGAGAUUAUCAUGAAAAAUGGAAAGAGAAAAAUGUUGGCUGCAGAGACGGCAGCUCUCAGAAAAGAGUGGGUAGGACAACUGUGGCAAGCCAUGCAUCUCUCUGCCUCUCGGAUCUCAAUGCAGUGCAGCGACGCAGACCUCGAGGAGUGCGAGCAGCCAGACAGACAGAGCAGCAGCACAUCCGUCUGCUCAUACAGCGACGGUGUGAUGGAGUCUCCUCCGGCUCGGCCCCUGUCCGCCCCCAGUCCAUCAACCCACACCCACCGUGAAACCAGGAGCGUCCCCUCGGCCCUCUCCCCUCGUCUCCCCCUCUACCAGGAGCUGAACAGUGAAGAGGCCGUGUACGAAAACACACUAUUAGCCCUGGACUACCGGCAUCAAAAUGGUGACCGCCUCCAAGAUCCUCCGUGGUCCUGUGGGUGGAGUCGUGCACAGGACACACAAGAGGGAGACUAUGAUGUUUUACCACCUAGAAACAGUAUGGUCUCAUACAUUUUCUAA
rnacentral:lncRNA from 1 species